UAGAUGUCACACAUAUCACACACAUAGGUAUGUAGAUACACAUAUACGUAGACACACAUCACACACAGUGGUAUAUAGAUACACACGUAGACACACAUACCACAUAAUGAAGCACACACCAUUCAUACAGACACAUAGACAUACCACACAUAGAUACACACACUGGCCCCACUCUCUUUUGUGGGCCUUUGUGAAAUGUAGGGAUCUAGAUACGAAGCAGCUUAUAGUAACAGAGACAAGGGCAGCCUCACUGUGAUUUAGCUCUUAGCACCAUACAUUGCGCUGGUGAAUUAUUUUUCUCUGCUCCUGGGAUCCCAGGCAUUCCCAGGAAGGAGAGAAGCACUCCCUGAGAUUCUGCUUUUGUGCCUUUGAGCCAGUAACACUUGCCUCCAUCUUGUAAGAAGCUUUAUGUCUACACUAGAAACAAAGCACUUUGAGAAAACAUUAGACUAAUGGUGUGCGGCUCUCCCCAGGUCCCCUCUGCUGUUCAGAUGCCACAUUGGCUCCUCAAACAUUGAGGACAGGUCAUCAAGUGUGAACGGCAGCUUGAACCUGUGCAGGGCAUCCUACCCUGAAAAGAAGGCAGUGGCUGGCAGUUACUCAUUUACAGUGCAAACAGAGACAUUUCAGAGAACAGCUAUCCCUUUCAACCUGGUAUAUAAAGGUCUGCCUCCUGCCCCCAGGCAGUUCAGUGGUGGAGGAAUAUUACUCUUGGCCUGGAUUUCUUCUGCAAGUGCUAGCUCUUUGCCAGGCUUUCUUCAUCCUGGAUGUGAGGCCCUGCCACUAAUUCAACAAUUCUUUUCUUGACCAAGGAGCUACAGGUUGUCCAUAAUGUAUGCACAAAAACAUCUUGCUGGAGCCAAGAACUCAGUUCUUCCCUUGCCUGGGUAAGAAUCCCAUUUUGGUCUGCAGUUAUAAAUGGGAGGCUUAGUGUCCAUUCAUCCUCUCCUCAUGGUUCCCACUCAUUUAAAUUCCAUUAGUGUGGUUUCAUAAUCUUUUUCUUUAGUCUGUGGGCAAACUUUUACAGUCCUAAUCCUUGGGGUUGUUCCUUGAUCACCACAGCCCCUGACCUUCCCGACCAACACUGGCGAGGGAAGCACUGACAGCCAUCCCCCUCUUCCCUAUCAUCCCAUUCCUUUGGGGAGGGUGGCAGGGAGAGUCUCUUUGAAAGAGGAAACAGAAGAGAACUUGUCUAAUGCAGACUCAUAAUUUAGAGAAUCUCCAUGACUCACUGGUUUAUAAUGUUGGAGGCAUACUGGGUAAAUCUGUCUUCUGUCUUUUAGAACAUUGCCCCCAGACAGAUCCCUGUAUGUUUCCUUAGGAGCCCUCAAGAUAUGAGAGUGAAAGGCUUUGGCAACAAUAAUACAAAGAGGUAUUGAAUUUUUGUGAGCAACAGGAGGACCUCAGCUUCGAAAGCUAAUGCAAUAUUGAUCUGCGCCAGGAGGACAAGGCACUCUCAUGCGCAACGUAUGUGCUCAUUUGUGUUUUAUUUGAACAAGGCUACUGUUUGAUUCUUUUUGUAAUUGUGGACCCAAAGGCCAAAGAGAUCACCAAACCCAGAAGUAUAAUGCAAAAGUAAAUUACUGAGGACUUAGUAAGGAGGAUACACAACCUCUGAAAAGCAAGACCCUAGUUCUAUCAGGUUGGAUGAGAAGGUGAAAGAAUGUCUGUUUUGCUUAGAUAACAGCACCCAAGUCCAUUACUCUUUCCAAUAAUCAUAGCUCUACCUCAGAAUGAAAAUAAUGUGGUCUUUUGUCUUGUUAUAUGAAGAAAAGCAAUGACAAAACAGAAAAAGCCUUUUUUUGUUUCUUUCCUUUGUUUUUGCUUGCUUGUUUUUUCUAUUUUGUUUUUCUGUUUUAUUUUCUUGAGACAGCCUGGUACUUAUUAUGUUGCCUAGGUUAACCUUGAACUCAUUAAUCUUACCUAAGCCUUCCAAGUUCCAGGAUCGCAUAUAUAUGACCAUGCCCAUCUAAAGAGUGAGAAAACUUUAAUUCAUCAGAAAGGAAUCAUUUCAUAGGCACCAGACAGGCCACUCAACGUUUCAUAAUUUAACAAGCAUAUCAGUAGAGGAUCUCUAAAGCUUGCACAUCUAUUUCCAUCCAUGUGGUCUUACUAGGCUACUUUAAAUGUAAAAGUAAAGAAAAACAACAGCAGCACCCAUCUAGCUCUUAAGAAACUCAUUAUUGACUCUGUUGAUCAUUUCCACGAUGUCGAUGACAACUAAGCUCUGGUCUUUCUUCCCAGCUCAGAGAAGGUGCAACAGUGGUGUGAACUCAUCAUUCUCUGGUUCCAUUGUUCAGUCCACACAAACAUGUAGUGUCCUUUGCGGAGGCACGUUUGACUCUCUGUACCAAUCCCUUCAGAACUCAUGGAUCCCCCAAGUUUCCAGAGAGUGAGAGAUAGAGACAUACGAUUUGCAACGUGCAUGCCUUGAAUUCAGAGUUUUAGAGUAUACUGCUUUUCUUCAAAGUCAAUUUGAGUCAAUAGAUAUCUUUUAAUUACUUAGUCGUUUAAUUUGAUAUUUAUGAUAAGAUGGACCAUAAGGUCAUGCAAUGACUAAAAGCCUUCUACACCUUUUGGAUAUUGUUUCUGGAAAGGAUAUCACUCUGAUAUCCUAUCUAUUCGGAGUUAUGAGUGUGGAACUACAAUGACAAAAAUGUUUCUAGUGCCAGUAACAAAAGACCCAGGAGGGUCAGCUCCCAUUUUCCCUAGAAGAGAGACAACUAGAAGUAUGCUGGCGCUGGUGCGGACUGGAUAAGGCCGGGUAAUUAUGAACAAGCAUACAAAGAUUUUGUGUAGCGAAUAUAGCUCAGUUGAUUUAGUGCUUGUCUAGUGUUCAUGAAGCUCUGGGUUCAAUCCCCAGCAUAGCAUAAACCAGGUGUGGCAAUGCAUACCUGUUAUUCCAGUACUGGGAAGGUGGGAAUUCAAAGACAUUCUCAGCUAUGUAGUAAGUUUGAGACCAGCCUGUACAACAUGAGACCCUGUCUCCCAAAUAAACAAAAUAAUGACUUCUUCAUAUCCCAAAGCUAGUGUUCUCUGGAAAUGAGUCAACUCUGGCUCAGUUCAAACCAUGGGUGCACAGGGCUGGCAACUCACAUUAUUCUUAGUUUCAACACAGUGAUUUUUGUAGAACCAGAAAAUUACCACUUUAAGAAACCCUUGACACUAAUAACAAUGUGCCUCUUUCGAAAAGUAUUCUAAAUAAGUUGGUUGAUGGGACCUCCUCCUCAGAUGUCUUUUUAAUUGAAAGUUCUAGAAAGGAAGGCUGCAAAUUUGGGUUGUGAACAAAUAAACCUAUUAUUAUGCAUUCCAACUAUUGUUACCACAUUAUUAUAAUGUUGUUUUCCUAAUUAUCAGAUUGAGUGCUUGGAAAUCAAUCAGUGCUAUGUUUGGGAAAAUCUCAUUAUCUAAUGAGAGGAAGAAUUUCUGUAAGAUCAUUAUAACCUUCUUCAUAAGGUAAAAAAAGAAAGAAUAGAUCAAACUAAUGUUAACUUGCUCAUUCAUUAAGUGACAGUAUAAAGCCGCUCUAACAUUAAAUUUUUCUCUGCUGUUUAGUGAAAAAGUGAUUGGAAUUUAAAUGUCCUUUUCAGAAAUAUAAGCAGUCACCUUCAUAUUUUACCUAAUCUUCACUUAGAAUGUACUCAGCUUAAGAAUACCAAGCUACUAUUUUAAAGAUAGUUGUACAUCUUCAACUGCUGGCCAUUGAGCUCUUUGAUUUUUCCUUUCCAAUAUAUGCAGUGUAUUCUCGAGGGAAAUCUUAACAGGAAAUUGGGCUAAGCACAAUUUCAGCAACACAGCUGCAACAAGUUCUUUCAUACUUUUCUCAUUGUUUGGAAUUUUCAUGUCAAUUUUUGCAUUCACUUUCUAACUCUCCUGAAAGUUUCAUAAAUGUCCACGUGAAUAUUUCCCAAACUCCUUCAAACCCAUGCUCAAAAUUGUCUUGUUUUACUUGGUCUGGCUUGACCCCCACCCUCCACCUUCAGAAUUUCAACUACAUCCUCUCUUCCUGAUAUGUCAUCCCUUAAUUCUGCUCUUCUUUCCCUCUCUCAUUUCUAGAAUGAGUGAUUUGAUGUAAUGAUGUUUUAAUUAACAGAAAUAAAGUAGUCAGAAAAACUAUUUGUUGAUCUCCAAACUAUCAUAGAAAUCACAUAGAACUUUGGAUAAUCCAGACUCCACUGCCUGUGUACACAGUGAAGGAGUUGGGAGCCAUAGUUGGAAAAGCCUUUCUAAUCACAGAAAUUCCAUCCCUGACAUUCACAGUUUAUUUUCCCUUUUCAUUUUGGACUAUUUUAAGAAACGAUACAUGCCCUGUGACAUUUAUAAAAGAUUCCUCCUUUUUGAGGGGUUUUUCCAGCUGCUCUUAGA
rnacentral:sRNA from 1 species